rnacentral:lncRNA from 1 species
UUGCCAAAAAACGACUACAAGAACUUCGCGGUCACCUAAAACAUCGAGGCUACAAAAGGAAAGACAUUGAUAAAGGUUUUUCUCGUGCUAGCAACAUCAGCCGAGAUGAACUUUUACAAUAUAAAGUCAAAAAGGUCAACAGGAGGGUGCCUUUUGUGUUGACUUACAAUCCAAAAUUUGACAACUUGUCUCACCUUAUCCGCGAAAGUUGGAAAGAUAUCGAAAAUCAUCCUAAACUAUCCAAGAUCUUUCCCGAGCCACCUGUACUGGCUUUCCGCAGGCCCAAAAGCCUUAAAGACUUGCUGGUGAGAGCUGAGUUAUCCUCUCAAGCAGGCUCUUCGUCAGUGGGCUCUUGUAAGGGUUGUGGAAACAAACGAUGUCUGACUUGCAAACAAAUACUGGAUACCCAGACUUUUAACAGUCACUCCACUGGUACAGAAUACACCAUAUUUUGCAAUGUUAAUUGCAAGACUACAAAUGUUGUGUAUCUCCUACAGUGUAAAUGUGGUAAACAGUAUGUAGGCGAGUCAGAACAGCCGUUUCACAAACGAAUGAACGGUCAUCGUAGCGACUACCAAUGCAAGCCAGACCUCCCUCUUAGUCGACAUUUGAGAUCCCCUGGCCACACUAAGGCAGAUCUCAAUCGACUGACCAUUACUAUCAUUGACCACAACUCUGCUUGGUCUAGGGAGGAUAGACUUACUCGGGAAAGAUUUUGGAUUAGAAAAUUAACAACUUUGGCACCAAAUGGGAUAAAUGAAAAGAUGUAGUUCGAAACCAUGCAGUGCUUCACAUCUGGGUUAUAUUACUUAUUAUUACAGUCUCCGUUUCUAUCUCUUUACCUUACUCAUCUCUAAAACAAAUCUGUUGAACAUAACAAUUUAAAUUGCUUAAUUUUUUGAGGGAUGUAUAAGUACCAAGCCACGUCCA